CAGUCGCCGCGGUAAUACGAGGGGGGCAAGCGUUGUUCGGAAUUAUUGGGCGUAAAGGGUGCGUAGGCGGCUUGACAAGUCUUGUGUGAAAUCGAUGGGCUCAACCCAUCGUCUGCACGAGAAACUACCGGGCUUGAGUGGUGGAGAGGUGAGUGGAAUUUCCGGUGUAGCGGUGAAAUGCGUAGAUAUCGGAAGGAACACCUGUGGCGAAAGCGGCUCACUGGACACUAACUGACGCUGAGGCACGAAAGCUAGGGGAGCAAACAGGAUUAGAUACCCGGGUAGUCCCUGUCUCUUAUAC
rnacentral:rRNA from 1 species